AUGUUUCUAAUGCCACGGCCUUUUUCGGAGCUGCAAAUGUUUUAAUGCUAAUUUGAACUGCGUUCCCGGGAGAAAUGAUUCUCCAGGUUAAGAAAUCACAUCUCCCAGUAUAAAACUUUAAUUGGAUAAUCCACAUAUUUUUUUGAGACAAAAAAAAAUAAUUCAAUACUGUUAUCUUGUAAUCCUUUGUUACUUUCUAGGAAAUAAGAGAUCAUACUAAACAACCACAACAACAACAACCACAACAACAAAACUGGCUGGAGUUUCAGUGAUGCUGAGUUGGGAAGGUCUUCCAUCCAUUAUAUAUGAUUGGUAAGACAAGGGAAGCUCACCCUUAGAACCCAGCCACCACGUUGUGAGGAAUCCCAGGCUACCUAGUGAGUCUUCAUGUAGAUACUCCAGCUGAGACUAGCCAACGUCCUAGCCAAAGGCCAGCUUCAACAGCCAAACACGUGCAUGAACAAGCCUUUAGAUGAUUCUAGUCUCCAGCUUCCAGUUAUGCCAGCUGAUGCCAAAUGAAGAAGAAAUGAGUUGCCCUACUCUGCUUUGCCUAAACUAAAGAUUGGUGAACAAGACAAAUGAUGUUUUGAACUACUAGGCUUUGAGGUGGCUUAUUAUGCAGCAGUAAAUUACUACCACAGAUACUGAUACUAAAAAUGGUGUGCUGCUAUUCAAAAAACCUAAAACUAAACUUCCUUUGAACCAGGAGGUAGGUGGAACCUGGAAAGAUGUAGAAAAGCAUAAGAAUGAGACCCAAAAAGGGCCUCCACGAGACUCUUAGUGGAAGCCUGAUGGCCUGUGAAGAGGCUGACAGCAAGGGUUUCUAAGCAAGUGAAGAAAAUGACACUGGAGGAAAGGGAAGUCAUGCUACAAAAUACCUGAGAGUAAAACGGAUAGGAAAGAGAAACUAAAGAAAGACUAUGCAACUGAAAGGAACCAGGACUUAGUGGGUUCAAGUAUCUGUUUCUCAUUUACAGCCUCUCUACAUGUGGAACUGUCAAAUAAUGCUGACAUGAAGAAAUGGCUUUUGGGUUACGAGAAAAUCCAGGGUGCUACCAGGAAAACAGAAAGAUUUAAGAGAGCACGAGUCUGAGUGACGCAGAACGUGAGGGACACAAUGGAUCCAACGCAGGCUCUGCUGACAGCAGAGAGUCCGAUGCAGGCCUCAGUCUCAAGAACGUGGAGAUCAUGACCUGAGCCAAAGGCAGACUCUGAUAGGACUGGAGACAGCCAGGCACCCCUCAAUUUUGUAUUUCAUUUCUUAGCAUACAUUUAGAAUAAAAGCUUUGUUAUACCAA